AGCUUCAUAUGUCAGAGUCUUCCUCAUCACAGGGACCUCCUGAAGGACACACAGAGACAACUGUCACAUGUUGAUCAACUCAGACAACUUCAUGAUUAGGAGACAUGUCCCACAGACUGGUUUAACUUGGGACAUGUCCCACAGACUGGUUUUACUGAGACAGGUCCCUCAGACUGGUUUAAUUUAGACAUGUCCCUCAGACUGGUUUAACUGAGACAUGUCCCUGAGACUGGUUUAAUUGAGAUAUGUCCCUCAGACUGGUUUAACUGAGAUAUGCCCCUCGGACUGGUUUAACUGAGACAUGUCCCACAGACUGGUUUAAUUGAGACAUGUCCUACAGACUGGUUUAACUGAGACAUGUCCCACAGACUGGUUUUACUGAGACAUGUCCCACAGACUGGUUUAACUGAGACAUGUCCCUCAGACUGGUUUAACUGAGACAGGUCCCACAGACUGGUUUAACUGAGACAUGUCCCACAGACUGGUUUAACAGAGACAUGUCCCACAGACUGGUUUUACUGAGACAUGUCCCACAGACUGGUUUAACAGAGACAUGUCCCUCAGAGUGGUUUAACUGAGACAUGUCCCACAGACUGGUUUUACUGAGACAGGUCCCUCAGACUGGUUUAACUGAGACAUGUCCCACAGACUGGUUUUACUGAGACAGGUCCCUCAGACUGGUUUAACUGAGACAUGUCCUACAGACUGGUUUAACUGAGAAAUGUCCCACAGACUGGUUUAACUGAGACAGGUCCCACAGACUGGUUUAACUGAGACAUGUCCCACAGACUGGUUUAACAGAGACAUGUCCCUAAGACUGGUUUUACUGAGACAGGUCCCUCAGACUGGUUUAACUGAGACAUGUCCCACAGACUGGUUUAACUUAGACAUGUCCCUAAGACUGGUUUUACUGAGACAUGUCCCACAGACUGGUUUUACUGAGACAGGUCCCUAAGACUGGUUUAACAGAGAUAUGUCCCACAGACUGGUUUAACUGAGAAAUGUCCCUAAGACUGGUUUAACAGAGACAUGUCCCUCAGACUGGUUUAACUGAGACAUGUCCCACAGACUGGUUUAACUUAGACAUGUCCCUAAGACUGGUUUUACUGAGACAUGUCCCACAGACUGGUUUAACUUAGACAUGUCCCUAAGACUGGUUUAACUGAGACAUGUCCCACAGACUGGUUUAACUGAGAAAUGUCCCUAAGACUGGUUUAACAGAGACAUGUCCCUCAGACUGGUUUUACUGAGACAGGUCCCUCAGACUGGUUUAACUGAGACAUGUCCCACAGACUGGUUUAACUUAGACAUGUCCCUAAGACUGGUUUUACUGAGACAGGUCCCUCAGACUGGUUUAACUGAGACAGGUCCCUAAGACUGGUUUAACAGAGAUAUGUCCCACAGACUGGUUUAACUGAGAAAUGUCCCUAAGACUGGUUUAACAGAGACAUGUCCCUCAGACUGGUUUAACUGAGACAUGUCCCUAAGACUGGUUUUACUGAGACAGGUCCUUCAGACUGGUUUAACUGAGACAUGUCCUUCAGACUGGUUUAACUGAGACAUGUCCCUAAGACUGGUUUUACUGAGACAGGUCCUUCAGACUGGUUUAACUGAGACAUGUCCCACAGACUGGUUUAACUUAGACAUGUCCCUAAGACUGGUUUUACUGAGACAGGUCCCUCAGACUGGUUUAACUGAGACAGGUCCCUAAGACUGGUUUAACAGAGAUAUGUCCCACAGACUGGUUUAACUGAGAAAUGUCCCUAAGACUGGUUUAACAGAGACAUGUCCCUCAGACUGGUUUAACUGAGACAUGUCCCUAAGACUGGUUUUACUGAGACAGGUCCUUCAGACUGGUUUAACUGAGACAUGUCCCUCAGGGUGGUUUAACUGAGACAGGUCUCUCAGACUGGUUUAACUGAGACAUGUCCCUCAGACCGAUUUAACUGAGACAUGUCCCUGAGAGUGGUUUAACUAAGACAUGUCCCUCAUAUUGGUUUAACAGAGACAUGUCCCACAGACUGGUUUUACUGAGACAUGUCCCACAGACUGGUUUACUAGACAUGUCCCUCAGAGUGGUUUUACUGAGACAUGUCCCACAGGCUGGUUUUACAGAGACAAGUAAGUGGGAAAGGUCUAUGUGGGACAGGUUUAAGUGGAACAGGUUUAAGUGGGACAGGUCUAUGUGGGACAGGUUUAGGUGGGACAGGUUUAAGUGGAACAGGUUUAAGUGGAACAGGUUUAAGUGGGACAGGUUUAAGUGGAACAGGAUUAAGUAGAACAGGUUUAAGUGGAACAGGUUCAAGUAGGACAGGUCUAUGUGGGACAGGUUUAAGUGGGACAGGAUUAAGUGGAACAGAUUUAAGUGGGACAGGUUUAAGCAGAACAGGUUAAAGUGGAACAGGUUUAAGUAGAACAGGUUUAAGUGGAACAGGUUUAAGUGGAACAGGUUAAAGUGGGACAGGUUUAAGUGGGACAGGUUUAAGUGGGACAGGUUUAGGUGGGACAGGUUUAAGUGGAACAGGUUUAAGUAGAACAGGUUUAAGUGGAACAGGUUCAAGUAGAACAGGUUUAAGUAGAACAGCUUCAAGUAGGACAGGUCUAUGUGGGACAGGUUUGAGUGGGACAGGUUUAAGUGGAACAGAUUUAAGUGGGACAGGUUCAAGUAGAACAGGUUUAGUGGAACAGGUUCAAGUAGGACAGAUUUAAGUGGGACAGGUUUAAGUGGGACAGGAUUAAGUGGGACAGGUUUAGGUGGGACAGGUUUAAGUGGAACAGGUUUAAGUAGAACAGGUUUAAGUGGAACAGGUUCAAGUAGAACAGGUUUAAGUAGAACAGCUUCAAGUAGAACAGC